AUACGGAGGAUCCGAGCGUUAUCCGGAUUUAUUGGGUUUAAAGGGUGCGCAGGCGGGAGAUUAAGUCGGCGGUGAAAUUUUGCAGCUCAACUGUAAAAGUGCCUUCGAAACUGGGUUCCUUGAGUGUAGAUGAAGGAGGCGGAAUUUGUGGUGUAGCGGUGAAAUGCAUAGAUAUCACGAGGAACUCCGAUUGCGCAGGCAGCUUACUAAACUACUACUGACGCUCAGGCACGAAGGCGUGGGGAUCAAACAGGAUUAGAUACCCUGGUAGUCCACGCAGUAAACGGUGAUUACUAGCUGUUUGCGAUACAAUGUAAGCGGCUGAGCGAAAGCGUUAAGUAAUCCACCUGGGGAGUACGCCGGCAACGGUGAAACUCAAAGGAAUUGACGGGG
rnacentral:rRNA from 1 species